rnacentral:rRNA from 1 species
GGUUAAGCGACUAAGCGUACACGGUGGAUGCCCUGGCAGUCAGAGGCGAUGAAGGACGUGCUAAUCUGCGAUAAGCGUCGGUAAGGUGAUAUGAACCGUUAUAACCGGCGAUUUCCGAAUGGGGAAACCCAGUGUGAUUCGUCACACUAUCAUUACGUGAAUACAUAGCGUAAUGAAGCGAACCGGGGGAACUGAAACAUCUAAGUACCCCGAGGAAAAGAAAUCAACCGAGAUUCCCCCAGUAGCGGCGAGCGAACGGGGAGCAGCCCAGAGUCUGAAUCAGCUUGUGUGUUAGUGGAACGGUCUGGAAAGUCCGACGGUACAGGGUGAUAGUCCCGUACACCAAAAUGCACAGGUUGUGAACUCGAAGAGUAGGGCGGGACACGUGGUAUCCUGUCUGAAUAUGGGGGGACCAUCCUCCAAGGCUAAAUACUCCUGACUGACCGAUAGUGAACCAGUACCGUGAGGGAAAGGCGAAAAGAACCCCGGCGAGGGGAGUGAAAAAGAACCUGAAACCGUGUACGUACAAGCAGUGGGAGCCUCUUUAUGGGGUGACUGCGUACCUUUUGUAUAAUGGGUCAGCGACUUAUAUUCUGUAGCAAGGUUAACCGUAUAGGGGAGCCGAAGGGAAACCGAGUCUUAACUGGGCGUUAAGUUGCAGGGUAUAGACCCGAAACCCGGUGAUCUAGCCAUGGGCAGGUUGAAGGUUGGGUAACACUAACUGGAGGACCGAACCGACUAAUGUUGAAAAAUUAGCGGAUGACUUGUGGCUGGGGGUGAAAGGCCAAUCAAACCGGGAGAUAGCUGGUUCUCCCCGAAAGCUAUUUAGGUAGCGCCUCGUGAACUCAUCUUCGGGGGUAGAGCACUGUUUCGGCUAGGGGGUCAUCCCGACUUACCAACCCGAUGCAAACUGCGAAUACCGAAGAAUGUUAUCACGGGAGACACACGGCGGGUGCUAACGUCCGUCGUGAAGAGGGAAACAACCCAGACCGCCAGCUAAGGUCCCAAAGUCAUGGUUAAGUGGGAAACGAUGUGGGAAGGCACAGACAGCCAGGAUGUUGGCUUAGAAGCAGCCAUCAUUUAAAGAAAGCGUAAUAGCUCACUGGUCGAGUCGGCCUGCGCGGAAGAUGUAACGGGGCUAAACCAUGCACCGAAGCUGCGGCAGCGACACUAUGUGUUGUUGGGUAGGGGAGCGUUCUGUAAGCCGUUGAAGGUGUAUCGUGAGGUAUGCUGGAGGUAUCAGAAGUGCGAAUGCUGACAUAAGUAACGAUAAUGCGGGUGAAAAACCCGCACGCCGGAAGACCAAGGGUUCCUGUCCAACGUUAAUCGGGGCAGGGUGAGUCGACCCCUAAGGCGAGGCCGAAAGGCGUAGUCGAUGGGAAACAGGUUAAUA